GAAAAGAACUUUGAAGAGAGAGUUCAAGAGUACGUGAAACCGUUCAGGGGUAAACCUGAGAAACCCAAAAGAUCGAAUGGGGAGAUUCAUCGUCGACGAAGCUGGACUCCCGUUGGUGUGCGAUUCCCCCGAUUGGGACUCUGUUCCAAAACGCGGGUACACCCCUUCGGCGAAUAACCGGCGACGUAGUCGUGCACUUCUCCCUUAGUAGUACGUCGCGACCCGUUGUGUGUCGGUCUACGGCCUGGGCUCUUUGCCUGUCGCGGUCAUCGUUUUUGGCCGCGGCAGAGGCUCGGUCGCCCGGCCGGCUGCACGACGGUACUCUGACGGUAUCGGGCCGCAACCAAUCCAUUCUCGAAUGUAUUUGCGUCAGGCCCGCCGCAAGCUCAGACAGCACCCGGCGCGUGUGGACCUAGUACCCUCCACGGGUCUGACCAACUGUUUGCAGGCGGUGUCCUCGGACUGGCCAAGCUUUGAAUUACCGGUCAGCGACGCUAUUGCUUUGGGUACUCUCAGGACCCGUCUUGAAACACGGACCAAGGAGUCUAACAUGUGCGCGAGUCAUUGGGACAUUUAAACCUAAAGGCGAAAUGAAAGUGAAAGUCGUCGUAAGCGUCGACCAAGGGAGGAUGGGCCGCUUACGUCGCGGCCUCGCACUCCCGGGGCGUCUCGUUCUCGUUGAGAAGAGGCGCACCCAGAGCGUACACCGUU
rnacentral:rRNA from 1 species